rnacentral:rRNA from 1 species
UACGGGGCAGCAGUGGGGAAUAUUGCACAAUGGGCGAAAGCCUGAUGCAGCUAUGCCGCGUGUAUGAAGAAGGCCUUAGGGUUGUAAAGUACUUUCAUCGGGGAGGAAAAACAAAACUAAUAAUUUUAUUUCUUGACGUUACCCGAAAAAGAAGCACCGGCUAACUCCGUGCCAGCAGCCGCGGUAAUACGGAGGGUGCUAGCGUUAAUCAGAAUUACUGGGCGUAAAGAGCACGUAGGUGGUUUUUUUAAGUCAGAUGUGAAAUCCCUGGGCUUAACCUAGGAACUGCAUUUUGAAACUGAAAUACUAGAGUAUCGUAGAGGGAGGUAGAAUUCUAGGUGUAGCGGUGAAAUGCGUAGAUAUCUGGAGGAAUACCUGUGGCGAAAGCGGCCUCCUAAACGAAUACUGACACUGAGGGUGCGAAAGCGUGGGGAGCAAACAGGGAUUAGAUACC